rnacentral:lncRNA from 1 species
AGACUUCAGAGAAGGGUUGAGCCUAACUUGCUGAGAUGGCAUGUCCUGCGAAGAUAUACACAUGCAGCCAUAUGAGGAUGAUGAUGUUGAAUUGGCUUGCUUAGCUUAUGUUAUCAGGACCACAUCUUCUACAAUACCGUUUCAUCAUAUAUCUGCCAAGCAAAAAGUGACACCAUCAGACAACCAAGGGAGAUGUGCAAUUUUCAUGCAGAUGUAAGGUAUAAAUUUAUCUUGUACUUCCUCCGUCUCAAAAUUCUUGUCUUAUGUUUGUCUAGAAAUGAAUGUAUCUAAAUACUGAAACUUGACUGGAUACAUUCAGUUUUAGGCAAAUUUAAGACAAGAAUUUUAGGACCGUCUGGCAAUUUACAUGCAGAUGUAAGCUAAAAAUUUUAUCUUGUAAGAUUGUUUAGAUCAUUACUUUAAUGUUCUAAACGCUCAUAUAUUUCUUUUGAGGGAGUAUAUAACAGUCUGGUACCAUAUGAUAAUUAACUAAUUUACAACAUAGAUGUAAAAAUCAUUUGUUGCUGCUUCUCAUAAAACAUAGGGCUUCAAACUUCCAAAUAGAUAAUCAGAUGCAUAUCUCUACUGUUUUUCUUUCACACAACAUGCAACACAUUUUUUGUGAUUUUAGUUGCUCGACUGGGCAGCAAUGGAGGACCUAACCGUGCCAUCUAAAAUGUACAAUCCGGACGCACCGCCGAAGAUGAACAGAACUGGCGCCACCGACAACCAAGAGCUAACGCUGCCGCCGCCGGAGACCAAAAAAUCACGCGUCAGCCGCCUACUACGAAGAAUGGGUGUACUUGCCAUUUCUUUUGGCGGGCAAAUGACCUUUAUGUACAGGCAAGAGUUCAGGUUGUUGCUGGCCAUAGGUAGUACGAAAAUGUACAGUAGCAUGCUUUAUAAUUUUCUUGUAUUAGACAAUGUAUUGUUCCCUGCAGUAUUGAGUUCUUAGUGAUGGAGUGAUAUCAACAGACUAAGAUAUGUGGUGAUUUUAUCUAUCUGCACUGCAGCUAUCAAUAGAUUUAUGUUUUUUGUCUUGCUCUAAGAAGAUGCAUGAUACUAUGGUAUUUUCCUAAACGAGGUACAUUUGCUAAUUCUUCCAUAAGAUAUUUUCUAAGUGGUACUGUCAGUGUCAGCAUUCAUGACUUGAUUUGGCACAUUGUACAUGUAAAUUAUAAUCUCGAUAGUUCUUGAAAUUUCAAGAAGGGGUGAUGGAUGUUGUGGUAUUGUGCUGUAAGGAUGUGGUGUAGAAGGAUUCAGGCUUCAUGAAUUAAAUAUGCAUUAGAUUGGCAAUAAAGAGGCAAAAGUUGUGUCUAUUUUUUAUACGACUUGUACUUCCGAGAGCAUUUUCAGUCGUUAAGCCCCCCAAGGGCGUAAAAUAGCGCCGUCUGGGGACACGCCGUUGGG